ensembl:lncRNA
GCCACAUCAACAUUUGUGUUUUGUUUGGAAAAUGAACCACUUGUGUCUGUAGCAAAGAGGCACUUGAUUUGAAAGUUAAAGCAGCUGAACUAUGAUUAAUUAAGAGAUAAGGUGAAAUAAGAACAAUGAAAGGAAUAACCUUAGACAUGAAAGACAGUUUUCUGUUAUUAUUGGACUACUUUUAUAUGUAUAUGGUCAAGGAGAACUUAUAGCCUUUGUAUAUCCCUCAGGGUGUAUUUUGACUCAGGGCAGACCUGCAAGGACCACGUGAUAAUCAGAGAUACUUCUUAGAAAAGUAUUAAUGUCAUGAAAUGUUUGGCUGGAACAAAGUAGGGAGCUGAAAGAUGUGCAUUGAAAGUACCUUAGGUUUCAACAUGUGGAUGAAAGGACUUCUGAGGCUCAUCUUAAACGUCUGGUGAGGAUCCCUGAUUCAUGCUAAAAGAAACAGCAGGAGCCGCAGUGUAUGGGCCAUUCGGGAAGGGAAAAACAGACAAGCCAAGAAAAUCUGUCACAUUUCAUAACUCAGCUAAGCUGGAUAUCGUAAAUCGCACAUCGUAAUGUUUUCCCAGCACGCUACAAAAAGGCAAAAUAUAUUCUUCAAAUCCAAACACACACACAUUGCCAUGCUUACGCUCACACACACACACACACACACACGUACACGCACGAAAAAACACACACGCAAGCGCGCGCACACGCACAGCCUCAUUCUCACUCUCACAUCCGGUUAUCCAUCAAGGCCUCAACGAGCUGAAGGAUCGGGGGAGUGGGACCUAAAUGAGAAAUCAUUGACUGGGAAACUGUGUGGUAAUGGGGUCUCCUUGUGAUUGGAUAAGGUCUGUGUGUCAGGCGACGCAGGUUCACCUCGCUUAUCGCCAUACAUAGGGGAGCUUAAAAAUAAACAUGUUCAAGGAUCUGUUUGUAGGAAGUCCACGUGUUAAAAAAAAAAAAACCUCAGCCAGUUUAAAGUGUAUGCUCACUUUGAUACAUAAGGCAGACUUGUGCAACCGGUCCUUUUGUACACUUAAUAUAUUUAUGCCAUUGACCUGCAUCCAUUGCAGCCUGCUCACUUCUCAAUGUUUUGACAUUCAUAAUGUGAUGCAUGCUUUGUGUGUUACAUGUUAAGUGUAUGUGCUGACACGUAUGUUUGUGUGUGUGUGUGUGUGUGUGUGUGUGUGUGUGUGUGUGUUCCUGUACGUGUGUCACAUCCUGAGGCAGCAGCCUAAGCAAUGAAGUGUUUGUCCUUGCCUGACGGCAUUGUUUAUUGAUGUAUUGAUGCAUGCCGGGAGCGUGAAGAUUGCUUGAAAAGGUCGAUACAGCGGUUGAUAGAUUGGACUGAACUAUCUGUCACAGGCCAGGGAUGGUUAAAAUAAAAAAUAAAGAGGAUGGAGCGAAGAAGACAAAUGGAUGCCUUCUGAUGGUGUUCCAGAGAGAAUAAUCACAGAAACGGGAUGAGCUGUCACUCGCGCUCACCGUGGCAACAGGAGGAGCUGUCAAGCUGGUUUUGUUUGUUUCCCAUUAACCAGUCCUGCUUUUAAAAUAAAGGCUUUUCUUUUUCUCCAAUAAGGAAGGGUAAUUUAUGAAGCUCCCAGAGUCCGUGACCUCGUAAUAACACGUUCAGAGGGGACCCCAGACACAGAAGAGAAUGAAUAGUGAAUGGGACUGACCCUCCACACAGUUCUCCCAGUGGUUGGCUGCGAGCCCCACAUCUGUAUUCAG